GCUCAGGUGGUGGAAUUGGCAUACACGCAUGCUUGAGGUGCAUGUUCCGAAAGGAGUGCGGGUUCAAGUCCCGCCCUGAGCACCA
rnacentral:tRNA from 1 species